UACGUAGGGUGCGAGCGUUAAUCGGAAUUACUGGGCGUAAAGCGCACGUAGGCGGCUUUGUAAGUUAGAGGUGAAAGCCCGGGGCUCAACUCCGGAAUUGCCUUUAAGACUGCAUCGCUAGAAUUGUGGAGAGGUAAGUGGAAUUCCGAGUGUAGAGGUGAAAUUCGUAGAUAUUCGGAAGAACACCAGUGGCGAAGGCGACUUACUGGACACAUAUUGACGCUGAGGUGCGAAAGCGUGGGGAGCA
rnacentral:rRNA from 1 species